UGGAAGACCAGCAAGGGAAGAUGGCGGUCUUCUAAGUACCUCUAAGCUUCCGCUGACUCAUGAUGGAGCCUCGUGAUUUAGUUACUGGACCGGGCUGCCGCUGCUGAUUCAUGUAUGGUGUCUGCCGAGUGGACUGGACCGAAGCUACUGAUUCAUGGUUGGAGGUUUGCUAGUAGGCUGAACUGCUGAUAUCCUAACAACGAAGACUAGAAUCACCCCAAUGAACUGUGAACAACAUUGUCAAGCCAACAGUAUUUACUACCACACCUCCCCCACCCUUGCACAUGUGUGCUGAGCAACAUGCUGGAGACACUCGGUGAGUACCAAACGGCUGUGGGUCCGGGAGGAUGGGCCUGACCAUGUCCUGAGCAGAUGUAAAUCAAAUGGAAACCCAUGCCACUGUGACCCUACUGAAUGCUCUCGCGAUAA
rnacentral:lncRNA from 1 species